rnacentral:rRNA from 1 species
GAUGAACGCUGGCGGCGUGCCUAAUACAUGCAAGUCGAGCGAACAGAUGAGGAGCUUGCUCCUCUGACGUUAGCGGCGGACGGGUGAGUAACACGUGGAUAACCUACCUAUAAGACUGGGAUAACUUCGGGAAACCGGAGCUAAUACCGGAUAAUAUAUUGAACCGCAUGGUUCAAUAGUGAAAGACGGUUUUGCUGUCACUUAUAGAUGGAUCCGCGCCGCAUUAGCUAGUUGGUAAGGUAACGGCUUACCAAGGCAACGAUGCGUAGCCGACCUGAGAGGGUGAUCGGCCACACUGGAACUGAGACACGGUCCAGACUCCUACGGGAGGCAGAAGUAGGGAAUCUUCCGAAAUGGGCGAAAGCCUGACGGAGCAACGCCGCGUGAGUGAUGAAGGUCUUCGGAUCGUAAAACUCUGUUAUUAGGGAAGAACAAAUGUGUAAGUAACUAUGCACGUCUUGACGGUACCUAAUCAGAAAGCCACGGCUAACUACGUG